AUACUCGACUUUUAAAUUAUUUUUCAAAAAUAAAAUAAAUAUACUAUUCUACCAAAUCUAAACAUAGAGACAUUUUAAAUUUUUUUUUAAAAAUAAUUUUUUUCUUAACAACCACAAUGAAAAAAACUUAAAUGUCUCCAAGUUGUCGCCCGUAGAGAUGUCAACGGAUCGGAUUCGUGGCGAAUUUUCAAAAAUCCGAACCCGAACCCAACUCCAAACCCGAGACUCGAACCCGACGGAUUUUAAAAAUCCAUAUCCAAACCCAAGCCUGACCAAAAAUCCGAAACCUGAACCUGAACCCGAACCCGAACCCGAAAAUUUGAACCCAAAACAAUUAUUUCUUUUCUCAAUAUUUCAAAAUAUAUUAUAUUAAAUCUAAAUUUUUAAAAUACAAAUUCAAAUAUAACAUCAAAUAUAUAUAUAUAUUGUCACGCCCCGGAUUACACGUUCCCCGGGCACGCCGACAAAUCCGCCGUAUACGAAGAAAUUUUCCCUGUAUACGAAGCGAUAGCUGUACCUAUAAAUCAAACACUCCUACGAACAGUAGUAGAGAGCUGCUAGAGAAAACUGAAG
rnacentral:lncRNA from 1 species